CCUACGGGGGGCAGCAGUGGGGAAUAUUGGACAAUGGGGGAAACCCUUAUCCAGCGACGCCGCGUGAGGGAAGAAGGUUCUCGGAUUGUAAACCUUCUUCAGUGGGGACGUUAAUGAUGGUACCCACGGAGGAAGCCACGGGUAAUUACGGGCCAGCAGCCGCGGUAACACGGGGGCGGCAAGCGUAGUCCGGAAUUACUGGGUGUAAAGGGCGCGUAGGCGGGAUGUCAAGUCAGAAGUGAAAAUUAUGGGCUCAACUCAUAACCUGCUUUUGAAACUGUUAUUCUUGAGUGAAGUAGAGGCAGGCGGAAUUCCUGGUGUAGCGGUGAAAUGCGUAGAUAUUAGGAAGAACCCCGAUGGCGAAGGCAGCUUGCUGGGCUUUUACUGACGCUGAGGCUCGAAAGCGUGGGGAUCAAACAGGAUUAGAUACCCGUGUAGUC
rnacentral:rRNA from 1 species